AGAGUUUGAUCAUGGCUCAGAAUCAACGCUGGCGGNNNGCUAACACAUGCAAGUCGAGCGAGAAAGCAGGAGCAAUCUUGUGAGUAAAGCGGCGUACGGGUGAGUAACACGUGGAUCAUCUACCUCUUUGUGGGGGAUAACUCUGGGAAACCGGAGCUAAUACCGCAUAAGUCCGAGAGGAGAAAGCAGCAAUGCGCAGAGAGAGGAGUCCGCGGCCGAUUAGCUAGUUGGUAGGGUAAAAGCCUACCAAGGCUGAGAUCGGUAGCCGGCCUGAGAGGGCACACGGCCACACUGGCACUGAAACACGGGCCAGACUCCUACGGGAGGCAGCAGUGGGGAAUCUUGCACAAUGGGGGCAACCCUGAUGCAGCGACGCCGCGUGAGCGAUGAAGCCCUUCGGGGUGUAAAGCUCUUUCGGCAGGGAAGAUUAUGACGGUACUUGCAGAAGCAGCUGCGGCUAACUACGUGCCAGCAGCCGCGGUAAUACGUAGGCAGCAAGCGUUGUUCGGAGUUACUGGGCGUAAAGGGUGUGUAGGCGGUUCCCUAAGUUUGGUGUGAAAUCUCCCGGCUCAACUGGAGGGUGCGCCGAAAACUGGGGGGCUAGAGUACUGGAUGGGAGAGUGGAAUUCCUGGUGUAGCGGUGAAAUGCGUAGAUAUCAGGAGGAACACCUGUGGUGUAGACGGCUCUCUGGCAGUAACUGACGCUGAGACACGAAAGCUGGGUAGCAAACAGGAUUAGAUACCCUAGUAGUCC
rnacentral:rRNA from 1 species